CCCCAUUUUUGCGGCGGUGGAGUGCGGCGGUGGAGUGUGGAGUGUGGAGGGUAAUUAGUAUUCCAAUACGUCAUAAUUAUAUGCAAUGACGUCACGCGGGCAGGUUUAAACAAGGACAUGUGAAACUUGCUGACUACGCAUUUUUUAUUAAUAUAGAGGCCGUUCGACCCCCAUUUUUGCGGCGGUGGAGUGCGGCGGUGGAGUGUGGAAUGUGGAGGGUAAUUAGUAUUCC